GGCUGGCGUAUCGCGUCUGCGCGCUGCGGCCUUCCGGAACUUCCUCUCUGUCGGCAGCGGCAUCAAAGAAGGCGCAGGCGCUUCCGGGCGAGUUCUCGCGCGAUUUGGGCGCCUCCGCGGGAGGGUGUCUCCCGGUCUUCUGGAGGCGCGCGCAAGACAGAUGUCUGGACGGGGCGGGGCUCCGAGCCUGCAGCACCGGGUGCGGGCCGGCGGGGCGGGGCUGGGUGGCCUGGGCCGGGGUGGGGGAGCGAGGCCCUGCGGGCCGCCUCCGGGGCUGCCGGCGAGCCGGUGCUGUCCUGGUUACAAGUGGGCGCGUGCAAGCAGAGGAGCUUUCCAAAGCUGCGGAUCUGGACGCCCCUCCUCGGACAGGCUGAAACCGACCCUUAGGGUCCGCCCUCGGAGUUUGCUUUUUGUCGUCAUUAGUGCGUCCCAGGAACUGCAGACAGCUCUGGAGAGGAAAGAAGAGGGUUAGCAGUCAGCUCUGCGGGACCCAGCACCUGCCCAGCACACAGCCCAGGCCAGACGGUCGCCGCCUCCUGCGUGACCCCUGGCCACGUCAGGGCUCCACCUGCAUCUUCCUCCCAAAUCUUGCUUUUCUUUUUUACUUAGCUCUGCACCCAAAAUACGUCUGCCUCCCCUGGCUCUUUCUGGGGAGCAUCGGAUCUGGAGUGGAGGGUGCCUGACCCCUCCCCACAAGCACUGUCAGAGCCAGAGGGCCCUCAGGUGAGAUGUCCAGCUCUAAACAUACAUGUCUUGGGACUUCCCUGGUGGUGCAGUGGUUAAGAAUCAACCUGCCAAUGCAGGGGACACGGGUUCAAGCCCUGGUCUGGGAAGAUCCCAUAGGCCGCGGAGCAACUAAGCCCGAGAGCCACAACUACUGAAGCCUGAAUGCCUAGAGCCUGUGCUCCACAAGAGAAGCCACUGCAAUGAGAAGCCCGUGCACUGCAACGAAGAGUAGCCUGUGUGCAGCAACAAAGACCCAACGUAGCCAAUAAAUAAAUAAAUACAUAAAUUUAUUUAUUUUUGAAAAAAUAAUAAAGUACACGUCUUGGGAAUUCCCUGGCAGACCAAUGGUUAGGACCCUGUGCUUCCUCUGCAGGGAGCAUGGGUUCGAUCCCUGGUCAGACAACUAAGAUCCCGCACGCUGCGUGGUGUGGUCAAAAAAUAAAAUAAAAUAAAAAUAAAUUACAUGUAGACAGCAGAUUGCUUUCUUUAAUCAAUCUGGGAAACUGCCUUUUAAUUGGAUUGUUUAGACCAUUAUUGUUUAAUGUCAUUGUUGAUAGAGUCAGGUUUAAGUCUAUUGUCUUGUGAUUUGUUUUCUUUUUGUAUUAUUUGUUCUUUGUUCCCUUUUCCUUUUUCUGCUUUCUGUAUUGAGUAUUUUUUGUGAUUCCAUUUUAUCUUCUUUCUACUUACGAGCUAUUCCAGUGGUUGCUUCUGGGCUCACAGGAUAGUCUUUAACUCAUCACAGUCUUCCUUCAAGUAAUAUUUCACCAUUUCAUGUUCAGUAUAAAAACCCUACAGCAGCAUACUUCUGAUCCUCCGCCUCCAAUCUUAAUGCUACUGUUAUGAUAUUUUUAUUUAUAAAAUAUGUGAUAAACCCCAAAAUACAUUUUUAUUAAUUUUUUGCUUGCCUGGUAGUCUUUGAUUGUAUGCCAGACACUGAACUUUACCUUGCUGGGUGCUAGAUAUUGGUUUACCUUUUAAAGAGGUAUAAGCAGAUAAUCUUAAAAUGUCAGGAGUAUUACAUUUUAGUAGUUGCUGUUCUUAGUGCUCUUAUUCCUUUGUGUAUGUUCAGAUCUCCAUCUGGUGUCAUUUUCCUUCUAUGUGGCAGACCUCGUCUAACAUUUGUUCCAGUGUGGGUCUGCUGGUGAAGGCUUUUGUAUUUCUGGAAAUGUCUUUACUUUGCCUCUGUUUUUGACACAAAUAUUCUUGCUGGGUACAGAAUUCUAGAUUGACCAUUUUUUUCCUUCUUUCAGUACUUUAAAGAUGUUCCAUUGACAUCUUGCUUGCAGUGUUUUGAUGAGAAAUCUGCAGCCAUCUUUAUCUUUCUCUGUACAUAACACAUCUUUAUUUGCUGACUGACUGUAGGAAUUUCUCUUUAUCACAUGUUUUGAUCAAUUUAAUUAUUACGUGUCUUGGUGUGAUUUUAUUCAUGUUUCUUGUGCUUGGGGUUCAUUGAGUUUCUUGUAGGUUUAUUUUUUUCAUCAAAUUUCAAAAACCUUCUUAGCCAUUAUUUCUUCAAAUACUUUUUCUGCCCCCACUUCUUUGGGGACUUUAAUUACACCUGUAUUAGGCUUCUUAACAUUACCCCACAGCUUGCCAACAGCUUUGUCUUUUUUUUUUUAAU